UGGUGAAGGGAAGUGCGAACUCAAGAGAACAACCAUCACUUCCUGUAACAACAACAAGAUGACGUUCUGCAUGAACCCUAUCAACACAUACAGGCCUCUCAUCACCGUCUCUGGCUACACCUCUAAUAGAUGCACCGCCGAUCUAGUUGGAGAUAUAACUGACAAUCAAAACAGGAUCCCAUCGGAUAUACAAGGACAGUGUCUCACUGUCGGCUUCAGUGGCACAUGUGGAUCAUACAACGCCAUAUCACAGGAUGGGAAUGUGUGUUAUACAAUUCCAUACCGCAUCCAGUACAACCCUAACAUGAUGACGGCCACAGAUGAAGUUGUGUACGCUAAAUGCUGUGUCAACCAA